rnacentral:rRNA from 1 species
GACGAACGCUGGCGGCGUGCUUAACACAUGUAAGUCGAACGAUGAACCCGGAGCUUGCUCCGGUGGAUUAGUGGCGAACGGGUGAGUAACACGUGAGUAACCUGCCCUUGACUCUGGGAUAACUGCGGGAAACUGUAGCUAAUACCGGAUACGACCCUCGGCGGCAUCGCCAGGGGGUGGAAAGAAUUUCGGUCAAGGAUGGACUCGCGGCCUAUCAGCUAGUUGGUGAGGUAACGGCUCACCAAGGCGACGACGGGUAGCCGGCCUGAGAGGGUGACCGGCCACACUGGGACUGAGACACGGCCCAGACUCCUACGGGAGGCAGCAGUGGGGAAUAUUGCGCAAUGGGCGAAAGCCUGACGCAGCAACGCCGCGUGCGGGAUGACGGCCUUCGGGUUGUAAACCGCUUUCAGCAGGGAAGAAGCCGCAAGGCGACGGUACCUGCAGAAGAAGCACCGGCUAACUACGUGCCAGCCGCCGCUGUAA